rnacentral:hammerhead_ribozyme from 2 species
GCCAUGCUGACGAGUCCUAAAAUGGACGAAACAGCUGUCCAUGGU